AUUGACAAUUGAGAAUUAAUAAAACAAAAUAAGAAACACUAAACUAACACUAAUUAGGAAUACUAAAGCCACACACAUUCCUAAAUAAAUAAAAUACUACUUAAUUAAAUUUCCUAAAUUUCUUCCUAAAAUGUGUACACUUGAAAUCUCUAGUAGAAGUUCCUGCAUCAUUCCCCUUGUUUGAAAAAAACUCGACUCCAAAAAGUUGAACUGCAAAUGAGAAUCCAAGAGAGAAGGAUCCAAAGUUUGAAAUUCUUCCUUAGUAAUCCAAGUAGCCUCAGAAUUGGAACAACCUAAUAACUAGUCCUUACAGUGGCGAGGAUUAGGGUAAACACAAGAAAGACAGCAGGUGAAGGAAGAAAAGCUCACAAAGAAAGCCAAAAAAUUCAGAUUGUAUUCUCUCGUCAAUUUUGAUCGGCAAAAUGGAUCCAAAGGUGCUUUGAUACCAAAUUGAUGGACUAGUUUUUAGUCCAUAGAUAUUUGUGUAUCUAAGUAUUUUAAAAGAGCUUAUUAUGAUUAUUAUUGACAAUUGAGAAUUUUAUUCCUUUUCCCUUUGAUUGUUCUAUUGGUUCUAC
rnacentral:misc_RNA from 1 species